rnacentral:rRNA from 1 species
AGAGUUUGAUCAUGGCUCAGAGCGAACGCUGGCGGCGUGCCUAACACAUGCAAGUCGAACGUGAACGGCUUCGGCCUAGUAAAGUGGCGUACGGGUGAGUAACGCGUAGGUAAUCUACCCCAGAGUCUGGAAUAACCGACCGAAAGGUUGGCUAAUACUGGAUAGAGCGACGGAAUCCGUAAUUGGGUUUUUCGGGAAAGGGAGGCAGCAAUGCCCCUCGCUUUGGGAUGAGCCUGCGUCUCAUUAGCUAGUUGGUAAGGUAAUGGCUUACCAAGGCUUUGAUGGGUAGCUGGUCUGAGGGGAUGAUCAGCCACACUGGAACUGAAACACGGUCCAGACUCCUACGGGAGGCAGCAGUGGGGAAUCUUGCGCAAUGGACGAAAGUCUGACGCAGCCACGCCGCGUGAGUGAAGAAGGCCUUCGGGUUGUAAAGCUCUGUCGGGCGGGACGAAAAUCUUAACAGUUAAGAGCUGGUAAGACUGACGGUACCGCCAAAGGAAGCACCGGCUAACUUCGUGCCAGCAGCCGCGGUAAUACGAGGGGUGCAAGCGUUGCUCGGAAUUAUUGGGCGUAAAGGGUAGGUAGGUGGUCUCAUUUGUCUGGGGUGAAAUCCUUGAGCUUAACUCAAGAAGUGCCCCAGAAACGGUGAGACUUGAGUACUGGAGAGGGUCGUGGAAUUCCCGGUGUAGCGGUGAAAUGCGUAGAGAUCGGGAGGAACACCAGCGGCGAAGGCGGCGACCUGGACAGUAACUGACACUCAACUACGAAAGCGUGGGGAGCAAACAGGAUUAGAUACCCUAGUAGUCC